CUCCUGACUUCAGGUGAUCUGCCCACCUCAGCCUCCAAAAGUGCUGGGAUUACAGGCAUGAGCCACUGCAUCCGGCCCUAAAGUGCUGUUUUAAUAAAGGGCAGGGUGGUGGGGGAAUAUGUGAGAGAGACUGUAGCCUGAAAUACUAAAAUGUUUACUAUCAGGCCUUUCACAGAAAAAGUUUGCUGACCUCAGUUCCAGCCUAUUCAAGAAGCAACCGGAAAUAACCGCAAACAACUAUUCACUGCCGGACACUGCUGGCAGAGGAGCACAGCAGUAAUGUUGAUGGGAAGAAGGUGCUGAUAGAUGGACUCACUGGGGUCACAGCAAUAAUCGACAGUACAAGUGGCAAACAUUGUGUAAAAUACUCCAAAUCCAAGACACACAUUUAUAAGAAAGUCUGUAACAGGUCAAAGAAUAAACUCCAGCUGCCCUCAAGACCUAGGGCAGGGAGACCUCCCUGACUGCUUCGUCAGGCCCACGGGGGCCCACACGUAUGUGAAGUUAACAGAGGAACUCUACUUCCUUGGAAAUCCCCACCGCUCCUCCAGCAGAGGUGGGCUGGAUGCUGCUCCUGGCAAAGCUGGCCAGAAGAUGCAGCCCGUGGGACACUCCCCACCACCACUCUCACUGUCUGACCCACUGCGAAGCUUCACAGAGCAGAAGGCUCAUUCCUCACAACAAAAGGAAAACCCUGGUCUGACACGACUGUUCUGAAAUUUAACAGUAAGUCUCCACAGGCUAUUUCUUUCUUAAUUUCGAUAUAAAGAUGUCAUGUUUUGCUCAUUUGUCUUAAUAGAUGAGGAUAUGAUCUGAGUUUGAGGAAUGAUAAAAAAGUUACAGGAAUAUAGGCACAUGUACAUUCAUUAGAUGCAGCUACGCGCCAAAGGGCAUUCCAAAACACAUCCUUAUCAGUGCAGAAAUUCUGAAUUAAAAUCACUCAAAAUUUUUCUUGAUGUAAGAAAUAUUUUGCUUAAAAUUUAUCAGAAAGUUAUUUCUGUUUUCAAAAGGUCACUUUAAAAUUUUUGUAUCUCAGGCAAAUUAAUCUAAAGGGAGUAAAAAUUAUGGUUAAACAACAGACUUUUAAGGCCGCCAAUUCUUUCCCACCUUCUAAAAGUACCAAGUUAAUCCAAAGUAAAUGCAUAAUUAUUUUUUCUUACAGAACUUCCACAUGAAUUAUGUCUUUGAAACAUGAGAACUAGUGACAUUUGCUUCAAACCUCAAAAUAUUCUUCAGAACUGUAUGUCUCUCUCUCACAGUACUGAUAACUGCAAGAUGAAGAGACCAAUUCCACAUGCUAUAGUGUUCAAUUAUUCCUUCACAAAUUCUGUGAAGUGGGGAAGGUAAACCACAAGCAUAGUAUAUAUGCUCUUUAUGACAAUGCCUAAGAGUUCAUUUUCAGUUGUAACCUAUAUCAAUAAGGCAUUUCACCUUUUAAAAAUGUAAGUUACUAUAUUUUAUCCUCAAUGACUCUCAAAAGGCAGAAUCUUCUAGAUCCCUGCUAUCUAAUAUAGUAGCCACUCACUCCAGGUGGCUAUUUAAAUUAAUUAAACUUGAAGUUUAAAAUUCAGUGUCUGAGUUGCACUAGCCACUUUCCACGUAUGGCUAGUGUUACCACAUCAGAGUGGAUAGAGAACACUUCCGUCGCUGCAGAAAGUUCUGCUGGACAGUGCUGCUCCAUGGGGCAUGUAGAAUAGUCAAAAGUUAAGUAAAACACAAAUAUGAUCGUAGUUUCUAAAUUCCACUACAGAUUAAACCAAUGUUUGCAAAACACGAAAAUGAAUCUAGGUAAUGUUUUUCAACAUAGGAAAUGUACUGUAAGGUAGACUAUUCACUGGGGCCAAGCAGACGUGUAGACAGGUGGUCUGUGCCACCUUUCAUCUGAAGUGGUCAAUGGAAAUAAAAGAUUUCCUAACUAUAUAAAUGCAUGCAGGUUCCCAAAUGCCCUCUUUUCCCUUUGAUUUAGUUCUGAUUAAUUUAUUUCAGACUGAGAGGGUAGUUUUUACCUGGAGAAAACCAUAAGUGGCAGAAAAAAUAUUCUGGUAGCCACCCACUUCUAUAACAAAUAAUCAAGUUACUAAGACCUUUACAAUGACAUCACCACACCAAAGAGUGAUACUACACAUACAUUCCUUCAGGAAUCUCAGACUUCAUGUUUAUUGUGAACAAUUUCAGAGAAAAUUAAAUAUUUUGGAUCUGUGUAUAUCUGUCUCUAAUCCUAGAUAGGGCUCAUCAAACUAGAAGAGAAGCACUCUGAAAAAGAGCCAAAAGACGACAAACCAAAAAGUACUUAAACCUGAAGUACUUUAAUUGGUUUAAAGAAAUCAUUAUUCUUCCAGUAUCGGCUUUAUAAUCUAGUCAGUCAAUGAGACAUACAUGUCUGGUUUUAACAAACACUACGCAGUAUUGCCCUCAAAGAAGUUAGGUUAUUUCCUUUCAGUAUGCAAUUUUGAAACAUUCUAUGGGCUUUACACUUAAGUUUGCUAAGGCAUUCCUGCUUUGUGCAUGUUUUCACAAUAACUUCUACACACCAACUGCCAAAAUAAAUUAGAUGGCACUUAAUGAUUUGGUGUGAUGUACACAGAUUUCACUUGAGUCAGCAGUCAUUCCACAGCCAUGCUUCUAUGCACUGUAGCUUCAAAGGCAUGGCUAGCUGGGUUUCUGUUUAUUGCUUCAAUCUUGGGUCCAGUGAGUUUUCUCUAACUAAGCUAUUUGACUAUACCAAGAAAAGCCUGUUCACACAUAAAUAGUUUCAUUUCUUUAUGAUGACAAAGUAUUCAUAGCUCCUUGUUAAUGUCAAGUGGUAUUUAACUGCCCCUAACAAGCAAGGAAAAGAAACUAGGAUCCUGUGCUAUUGCAUAGAUGCAAAGUGGAAAAUAUGUUCAUUAAACUUAAUUUCCCUUAAAAAUGAUGCAUAAAUCAUAGUGCUUCCUAGUAGACCUCACAAUACAUUUGACAAGGGUUUUCUAUUAUCAAAAGUAACUCUAUGAUGAUUUCACACCUUUUUCUGCCCUUUCCUUGUACCCUCAAAAUUCCCCUUGCAAAUAAAUUGAGUAGCUUAUAAAUUGUUGGGUAAUAAUUUUAAAACAGGUUCUUGGGACCUUAGAUAUGUUUUAUGACAAAUAUUAAAUAAAAUAAAUGCAGAGCUAUGACCACUAUGGGCCAAGUUUUAGAUAUCCAAAGCCAAGGUUUAUUUUAUCAACAUUUCAAUCAUAUUAUAAAUAUGAAGUUAUAAAACUCAUCGACAAAAACCCCACUCAAAAAUUCUAAAAAAUACUUCAACCCCAUUCUUAGACCCUUCUUUUUCCAAAGGCCUAU